rnacentral:misc_RNA from 1 species
AACUUUUGGCAACGGAUCACUUGGCUCUAGCAUCGAUGAAGAACGCAGCGAAACGCGAUAAGUAGUGUGAAUUGCAGAAUUAAGUGAAUCAUCGAAUCUUUGAACGCACAUGGCGCCUCCUAGCAUCCUGGGAGGCAUGCCUGUCCGAGCGUCAUUUCAACCCUCGAGCCCUAGUGGCCCGGUGUUGGGGAUCUACGCCCCGUCGUAGGCCCCGAAAAUCAGUGGCGGACCCGUAGCGGCCCUUCCUUUGCGUAGUAGCAUCCGCCUCGCAUCGGGAGACCUCGGGCACCGGCCUCUAAACCCCCCACAAGCCCGCCUAGGCGGCAUAAGGUUGACCUCGGAUCAGGUAGGAAUACCCGCUGAACUUAAGCAUAUCAAUAAGCGGAGGCU